rnacentral:rRNA from 1 species
GACGUAGGGCGCGAGCGUUGUCCGGAUUUAUUGGGCGUAAAGAGCUCGUAGGCGGCUUGUCGCGUCGACCGUGAAAACUUGGGGCUCAACCCCAAGCCUGCGGUCGAUACGGGCAGGCUCGAGUUCGGUAGGGGAGUCUGGAAUUCCUGGUGUAGCGGUGAAAUGCGCAGAUAUCAGGAGGAACACCGGGUGGCGAAGGCGGGACUCUGGGCCGAUACUGACGCUGAGGAGCGAAAGCGUGGGGAGCAAACAGG